GGUGGCUUGCUUAGUGGUUAAGUGUUUGGCUGUUAACCAAAAAGUUGGUAGAUCGAAUCCACCAGCUGCUC
rnacentral:tRNA from 1 species